rnacentral:rRNA from 1 species
AACGAACGCUGGCGGCAUGCCUAAUACAUGCAAGUCGAACGAGAUCUUCGGAUCUAGUGGCGCACGGGUGCGUAACGCGUGGGAAUCUGCCCUUGGGUUCGGAAUAACAGCGGGAAACUGCUGCUAAUACCGGAUGGUGACGUAAGUCCAAAGAUUUAUCGCCCAGGGAUGAGCCCGCGUAGGAUUAGGUAGUUGGCGGGGUAAAGGCCCACCAAGCCUACGAUCCUUAGCUGGUCUGAGAGGAUGAUCAGCCACACUGGGACUGAGACACGGCCCAGACUCCUACGGGAGGCAGCAGUAGGGAAUAUUGGACAAUGGGGGCAACCCUGAUCCAGCAAUGCCGCGUGAGUGAUGAAGGCCUUAGGGUUGUAAAGCUCUUUUACCCGGGAUGAUAAUGACAGUACCGGGAGAAUAAGCCCCGGCUAACUCCGUGCCAGCAGCCGCAGUAA